rnacentral:rRNA from 1 species
CCCUACGGGGCGCCCCGUGAAGAUGGCUUUGACAUCCCAGUUGCCUCUGAAAUCAUGGCCAUCCUCUGCUUGGCCACUGAUUUGGAGAACCUGAAGGAACGCCUGGCCAGCAUCGUGAUUGGCUACCGUUACGAUCGAACCCCAGUCUAUGUCCGUGAUUUGAAGGUGGAGGGUGCACUGACUCUGAUUCUGAAAGAUGCCCUCAAACCAAAUCUGGUCCAAACCAUCUAUGGCACACCAGCCUUUGUUCAUGGCGGUCCCUUCGCCAACAUUGCCCACGGUUGUAAUUCCGUCUUGGCAACGACCACAGCCCUGCGGUUAGCUGAUUAUACUGGGACAGAAGCAGGCUUUGGUGCGGAUCUUGGUGCCGAAAAAUUCCUGGAUAUUAAGACCCCCAACCUGCCUAAGAGUCCGGACGCUAUCGUAGUAGUGGCCACCAUCCGGGCCCUCAAAAUGAAUUGGCGGGAGGGC